rnacentral:rRNA from 1 species
ACUCCUACGGGAGGCAGCMGUGGGGAAUUUUGCACARUGGGCSAAAGCCUGAUGCAGCGACGCCRCGUGGAGGAUGAAGGUUUUCGGAUUGUAAACUCCUUUUGUAGGGGAAAAUAAUGAKGGURCCCUGCGAAUAAGCCACGGCUAACUCUGUGCCAGCRGCCGCGGUAAGACAGAGGUGGCGAGCGUUGUUCGGAAUUACUGGGCUUAAAGGGCGCGUAGGCGGUAAGAUAAGUCUGUGGUGAAAUCCUAUGGCUUAACCAUAGAAUUGCCAUGGAAACUGUUUUACUUGAGUCAGCGAGGGGAUGGUGGAAUUCCUGGUGUAGCAGUGAAAUGCGUAGAUAUCCRGAGGAAGGCCGGUGGCSAAKGCGGCCAUCUGGSGCUGAACUGACGCUGAGGCGCGAAAGCGUGGGUAGCAMACAGGAUUAKAUACCCUGGUAGUCCACGCCCUAAACGGUGGGCAUUAKGUGUAGGGCUCGUAAGGGUUCUGUGCCGUASGGAAACCRUUAAAUGCYCCGCCUGGGGAGUACGGCCGCAAGGUUARAACUCAWAGGAAUUGACGG